GCUACUGAGGCCCAUAUGGAUGGGCGCGGCCAUGGUAAGGCCGAGGUAGAUGGGUUCAAGUCCCUCCAGUAGCUC
rnacentral:tRNA from 8 species